rnacentral:rRNA from 1 species
UAUGCACGCAAGUGUGAAACUCAAAGGAAUUGACGGGGGCCCGCACAAGCGGUGGAGUAUGUGGUUUAAUUCGAAGCAACGCGAAGAACCUUACCAAGUCUUGACAUACCGUGCAAAACCCUGAAGACAGGGGAAUAGUUAUGGCGGAUACAGGUGGUGCAUGGUUGUCGUCAGCUCGUGUCGUGAGAUGUUGGGUUAAGUCCCGCAACGAGCGCAACCCUUGCCUUUAGUUACCAGCAUUCAGUUGGGGACUCUAGAGGGACUGCCGGUGACAAACCGGAGGAAGGUGGGGAUGACGUCAAAUCAUCAUGCCCCUUAUGACUUGGGCUACACACGUACUACAAUGGCGUAUACAGAGAGACGCGAAGUGGCGACAUGGAGCAAAUCUCACAAAGUACGUCUCAGUUCAGAUUGAAGUCUGCAACUCGACUUCAUGAAGGCGGAAUCGCUAGUAAUCGCGGAUCAGCAUGCCGCGGUGAAUACGUUCUCGGGCCUUGUACACACCGCCCGUCAAACCAUGAGAGUUGGUAAUACCCGAAGCCGGUGGCCUAACCCAGUAAUGGGAGGGAGCCGUCGAAGGUAGGAUCGAUGAUUGGGGUU